UACGGAGGAUGCAAGCGUUAUCCGGAUUUAUUGGGUUUAAAGGGUGCGCAGGUUGUUUGAUAAGUCAGUGGUGAAAGUCUGUCGCUUAACGGUAGGAUUGCCAUUGAUACUGUUGGACUUGAAUAUGGAUGAGGUAGGCGGAAUGUGUAGUGUAGCGGUGAAAUGCAUAGAUAUUACACAGAACACCGAUUGCGAAGGCAGCUUACUAAUCCAUCAUUGACGCUGAGGCAUGAAAGCGUGGGGAUCAAACA
rnacentral:rRNA from 1 species